rnacentral:rRNA from 1 species
GACGUAGGGCGCGAGCGUUGUCCGGAUUUAUUGGGCGUAAAGAGCUCGUAGGCGGUCUGUCGCGUCGGCUGUGAAAUCCCGAGGCUCAACCUCGGGUCUGCAGUCGAUACGGGCAAACUUGAGUGUUGCAGGGGAGACUGGAAUUCCUGGUGUAGCGGUGAAAUGCGCAGAUAUCAGGAGGAACACCGGUGGCGAAGGCGGGUCUCUGGGCCGAUACUGACGCUGAGGAGCGAAAGCGUGGGGAGCGAACAGG